UACGUAGGUGGCGAGCGUUGUCCGGAAUUACUGGGUGUAAAGGGCGCGUAGGCGGGCGCUUAAGUCAGACGUGAAAUACCGAGGCUCAACCUCGGGGCUGCGUUUGAAACUGGGCGUCUUGAGUGCAGGAGAGGGAAGCGGAAUUCCUAGUGUAGCGGUGAAAUGCGUAGAUAUUAGGAGGAACACCAGUGGCGAAGGAGGCUUUCGGGACUGUAACUGACGCUGAGGCGCGAAAGCGUGGGGAGCAAACAGG
rnacentral:rRNA from 1 species